UGUAUUGUCUGUUUGCUUGUUAUAAUUUUAGUAUAAAUAAUAUAAAGAUUAAGGGCAAAGAGAGAGUAUUAAUGCCCUCAAUCUAUAUAUUAUUUAUAUAAAAAUUAUAACAAGCAAAAAGAGAAUUCAGCCCUUGUCCUAACAUGAAAUAAACUAAGAAAAGAAACUCUAAUAAUGGAGAGAGUCGGAUGAUGCGUCUGUUGCGAUCCUUUGACCUCUUCUCCUUCAACAAAGGUUUCCCAAGAGUUCUUUGAAUGUGUGGAAGAAGGUUGAGGAAGAACUUGGGUUGAAUGAUGAGAGUAGUAAGGGAAGUGGUCAGGCGGUAGCUACAUCAUAGUUGAAAUUCUUAUUUGGUGUGGCGAUUCGAUUACCCAUAAUGCAAUUAGAUAGAAUUGGGAUUGAUUGAUAUAAGGUAUUCAAUUAUCUCAUGGGUUUUACCCUCAUUGGGUUUGAGUGGAGGAUGUUAUCUGCAAGAUGUGGACAUUUCGUCACUUUUUUUUUUAUUAGUCUGAGUGGUAUGGUUAGUGGUGAGGAAAUUUUAGCUCGAAUCACUUGAAUCCAAAAUAUUGGUGACUUGCAGAGGAAUAGAAGCAUGAAAAUGGUGCCGUAUGGAGAAUUGGGUUGGCCCCGAAAGCUGGAAUUUGAUCGGCCUAGCCAACUAUCUUCUACUUCAAAAAGAGCACAGUCCAAUGAUCUAGACCGUUGAUCCGAUACAUCCCCAAUGUAUUGACAAUCUUCCAGAAGUUCUCCAGAUGCAAUUUCUCUUCGUCCAUGGCAGCUACAAAAUCAACCGAAUUUGAAGACAAUAACGCACAUUGAUAUGAAUCCAGUUCAUCAUCGUCAAUUGUAAUGCAAGAAUGGUUCACCAUCAAUGUGGAAGUAUUUUUUGAAAAUCAAUCAUCUUUUGCCUUUUGACAUAAUUCAGGAACCUGCUGAGGUAUACUUCCACUAUUUUGACGAACUAUGGGAGCAUCUCCAUUGUGAGAAGUGGAACUCUCGCUCUCUUGAGAUACAUAAAAAGUUUUAAAAGUUUUAUUUCAACUUCUUACUUCUUUUGGCUGGGAUAUCUAUCUUUGAUGAAGGUUAUGUCGCAAGAUUUGAUCUUAGUUAAUCCUAAAUGGUUCUCAAGAAUUAAAACA